UGGAGGCCAAGCAGCAGUGAAACAUGUAUGAAGUGGAACAAUCACAUGGGGAAUGUUAUGGUUAGGUUGGGUUUGUA